rnacentral:lncRNA from 1 species
AAGGCAAUGGGCUCAGAAAUGCCGGUACCAACCAGACUGUGAGCCCUGAGUGUCUUCACUGUGAGGACACAAAAGCCACAGUACCCAGACAGACUUCAGGAGGCAAUUCUGCAGCUCCCACCCAUUCUCCUCACCUUUCUCUCAAGGCAAAGCGGCCUCUGAUGUGGGAGGCCAUGGCCCAUAUGUCAGGAGGCUCUGCAACCUCAUCAAGUCUGACCUUGAAGGGAAGGGCUGGGCCUCUUGGGUUCCAAGAACGGACUUCAGCUGGCUCUGUGAAAGUUGGGGAAGCCUCCUCUAUGUACCUUCGGGGUUUCUGAAGAGAAAGUAAAGCCAGCCCUACAGGCAGGCUAACCUAGACAUAACUGGAUACAGUGGGCUGUCUGUCCUGGACCUGGUUAUUUCUCCGGUGGGAGAGCUGCCCUCCUUUGUGACUUUAUAGAUAUGAAGCAGAAAUCCCAGGUCUGGUAUUCAUAUCAAUCUUUCUGAGGAACGGAUUGGCCGUCUUUUAUCCUGCCCUUCCACCCCUGCACAGGGACUCUAAGAAGGCCACAAUUACUGCACCUCCCUCCAUUUGGCUGUCAGCCUUCCCACCUGGAAGCAGACGACACUUCCUGUCCUGACCAGGCUGGCCUCCAGUGUGCUUUGAGCAACAGAAUGAUGUUGAAAGUGCAACUUACAAGAGAUGACGUUCCGGUACUCCUGGGGCCACACAUGGAGUGCACUGCCACUUUUUCUCUCACAGGAAAGAAAUCCAACCACACAGAGAUCGCCAAGCUACGCCAAAGCCCAAAUUAUCCACACAGAAGCUCCAUGAAGAAGACAGUGAGGCCCAGAGAAUUGGCUAAAGGCACGAAAUAUUCAAGUAAAGAAGGUUUUUGUUUUGCUUUGUUUUGUUUUGAGUGUUCAAACCCCAAAUUACGCUCUAUAACCAGAACCACCCAGCUGCACUCAGCUCAGACUGUAGAAUUAUGGGAAAUGAUAAAAUGGAGCUUCCCAUGGCACUCUCAAUGACGUUUGAACGUUCCUUCAUGCAGCUGUCUCCCAAACUCCAAACCAGGAUGUGCUCUCCCAAGUAGAUACCACAUCUUACUCCACAUCAGGUCUCACUUCACACAGAAGUAUGAGCGAACCCCUUAACUUCCAGCCCAGCUUCUCUGAAUUAGUUAGGCAUUGUGUUCAGUCAUCUACCAGAAUCCCAGCCUCACUGGAUUAAUCAGACACUGGCUUGUUUCUGGUUUCCUGCCCCGUUAGCUUUCAAGUGUGUCUUUCUUCUUUGUGGUUAGCUCAAGACUACAGCAUGGCUUCUUUGUCGCUAGCCUCACACCCACAUCCCAGACCGGAAGAAACAACAAGUGUCAGCAUCCCUUCAUCUCACCAACCAGAGCUAUGCCACAAGGACACCCACAGCUAAGGACAGCAAACACCUUGGAGAAUCUCAACUUUGACCCGGAAGUACUCACUACCUGCAACUGUCUGCCUGAGGGUACCAGGGAGAAAACAUGGGUUGUGACUAGUGUUCUCCUCAUUCUCCACCUAUAAAAAGGGGUUAGAACUUACCUUGAUGACUUGUUGAAUUUCAGAGAGACUAUGGGCAAACAUCAUAGUACCCAAGGCAUAACGGCACUCAGGAAAAGCCGUUAUAUCUUGAAUUUCCAGAAGUGGCCGUUAGCAGGGAGUUUUCCUGAAGGUGCUAAAAAUGUAUAAUAGAGACAUGGUUUGGACUCUUCAGUUCUUUUACAUUGAAUUCACUUCUUGGUUAAUAAAUCUUUUCUUGAUAGUCUAUUCAACCACUAAUAAAUCCAGCUGGAUUGUCAUUAUGACUCUUCACUUACAUGUGACACAUGAAAAAACAAGGCUUGGAAAGACACAAAGGGUGAGUUGGCAGGGUGCUACAGCCCUGUGGCUACAGAGCUGCAUAUUUCUUCUCUGAUUCAUGGAAAAAUACGUAGCACAUAGAAGUCAGCUACAGAUUUAAAAGAUCUCCUACCAGGGAGUUGAAGAAUCAAGUCUCAAGGUCUUAGCUGCUGAGGGCUAAAAAGCUCACUUAGAAGGUGACUAGUGGAAAGACUAAGGGGACCUGCUUUGUAUCUGCAGCUGCUCUCACCACAGCUUCUUUUUAAAGCAAAUGAAGAAAGACUUUUGUAAGAUUUGUUUUUCUUGCUAGGGACAAGCACAAAAUAUUGGGUCAAAUUACUAAAAUGGUCAAGAGAAAAGUUUCACUUCCAACUAGAUCCAACAUUGAAGGCUAUCUCUAUCCCUAGACAUCUCUCUCUGUGGACAAGUCCCCCCAAGCUUGAGAAUGACAGCAGAAAGAAAGAGGCCCUAUUUAAGGAAAAAAAACCAAAACAAUAGUUUAAGAAAAAAAAAAAAAAAAGCAAAAAGCCUCCCAAAUUAGUUCAAUCUGAAACACAAGCCCACCCCAGAAUCAAUUGGUAUUGUGCUAAGGAAGUAGUUUCUUAUUGGCCAGACUGGGUCAUGCCUACCUCAGAGCCCAGAUGAAACCAAUCUCAUUUAAGCCACUUAGGCUGAGAGUAGGUGAGAGCUGGCCCACUGAAGGACAGUCGAGAUGCUCCCGUCAGCAGGAGAGCCAGCCAGGACUAGUCCUAUAAAAGUUCCAGGGCAUGGUUAGUUAUAGAUGCAGCUGGUAUUACAAAAUACCACAAUAAUAUCAGGGGCGGGAAACCAUUCGCUAGGCAAGCAGACGGACCUGCGUUCCGAUCCCUAGCACCCGGGUAAAAGCUCUUCUCUUUAGUGUCACCCCAGCACUGAAGGUGCGGAGACAGGCAGCUGUCUAGCCAAAUGGGUGUGCUCCAGCUUCAGUGAGAGACCCUGUUUCCAAAUAUGGUGGAGCAUGUGUUAAUCCCAAAGACAGGAGGAGAAAGACCACUGAUCCAAAUCAUCAUGGCCAAAUUAAUUAAGGCAAGCAAAUAAUUAAAGCAAGCUUUUUUUUUUUUUUUUUUCCGUGUGCAUGGGCUGCCACCCCUUAAGGCAGAGUUCAGAAGAUCAGCAUUGGAUUUGAGGAAGACAAGGCUUUUAUAGCUCAGGGGUAGGGGGUUUCCAAAUGGGGGAUGUGGCAGGCAAAAUAGGUAGCAUUACAGGAACAGAAAAUAAACAUAAGUCAGUCCUAAACAGGCUCUUGAAAAAAAGACGUAAUUGCAAGGUGGGCAUAACAACAGGCAGUCAUAACAAGAUAGUCACAGGUGGUCCCACACCCUUUUGAAACAAAGGUAAUAUUGCCAUUCCUGGAACAGACAAUGCAGGGCCAUUUCUAGUUAAGUUUAUAGAUGGGACAUAGCCCAAUCCCUGAGAAACAGAGGUUUAAUCAUAAACAGGGAUGAACCUAUCUUGUCUCUUGUCUUUACUAAGAUGGCUUUGAAGCCCGAAAUGGAGGCAGGCUGGUUCUUCAAGUGACUGAGGUUCUCCAAGUGAUUGGCCGCUCAUCUCCACCUGUAUGUAUACACACGUACCCACCCUACCAUACACAAAUAAGAUAGACAGACUAGUGAUGCCCUCUUCUUAAACUGCCAGUAUUCACCUCAUGUUUCAGGCUAAUCCCAAACGUCAGCACAGAUAAGUCUCACUAAUGAGAUCAAUUUUCCAUCAGUGCUUUGUUUGUUUUCUCUCGUGGUGUAUAUCACACCUUUCUAUGCAUUGGGGUGAGUCACACAACCAUUUAUUGAUUUUUCUCCACGCUGGUUUGGAAAGGAUUUAAUGUAGUCAGUGUUGGACCUGCCUCCCAUUCAACACCAGCAGCUUGACAAUGAAGGCUGCUGAGAGAAACUGGAUUUGAGAAAGUAGGCUGACUUUUUUUUUUUUUUCCUUAAGUCAUAGUGAACUCUUUCUUUAGUAUGUGAACCCUGAAGUGGAGUUGAUAAUAGACUCAACCCCUAAGGUAGAGGAAGCUUACAAAUUUCAUAUUCUGAAAGGGAUAGGGUGGGGUAGGAGAUGCCCACACCCCUUCAACAAACAAAAAUGAAAAUCUGGAGACACCCUUUACACCUUCCCUGGAGUUGGAACCUUACUACCAAGUUGAGAGCCUUCCUGUGCUGUUCAUGCAUUUUGCAAGUUGUCUAUCUCCUCUUACAUCCCAUGGCUCCAUUCCAGGAACACUCUCCUUGGGGGAAAAAGAGGGAAUCAACACACCAAGACCGUCCUUGCUUGCAAGCACCUGCAGCCAUCCAAUGACUGUUUCCUGUUCAACUCAAGGGGUUCUAAUUACAUGAACUAAUAUUUUCUCACUAUUUAGACCAAGUUCUUUCUCGUAAAAGGCCAACUUUCAAAGACUGGGGUUAAGAAUCGCCAUAUUUAUGCCAACGCACACCUGCUUCCCACCACUUGUAGUUUCUCAUUGCCCCAUCAUUAUGGACAUUUGUCUUCUGGACAUUUACCCCAAUUCUUUUCAUUAUGAAAGAUAAACGUUGUCACUUUCAGUGCCCGACAUGCCCAAUGGAGCAGAGCUAGGCUUUCCCUCAGAUGCUACAGCUUGCUGUGCGGAAAUGGCCACUGUUGGCUUCUCAGUGAAGAUUAGCUGAGAGAGCCCUCUCUGAGCUGAGGAGUGCUUCCCCUUCUGUGGCCUCUGAGUCAUGUUUCUGAACCAGAAGUUGAGAACUGUCUGAGAAAAACCUGAGGUGUGUUGUUUCUCAGUUCUUGUCAAGCACAUCACACAGUUCCUCUCGCUGCCAAGUUUCUCCCUCACAAUUCUGACAUGUUUGUCCCCAAACACGUUCAUUUCCCAUAACGAAAAGAGCCGGGGGUGGGGGGAAUAUCAGCACACAAGAGCUGUAAAGAUGGGGAGCUAGUGACAGAAGACAUUAUUUAAUAUGGUAGAGAACCAGGGAUUCUUAGCCCCAUUCUUUCGUGCUUGCUAGAUUCCUACACCCUCAUUUUGUGUUUGACGAUAAUUCAACCCCCCAACGCACGCACGCACUCACUCAUACCCCACCAGGCUUCUCACAUUGUGGAUCAUCU